rnacentral:lncRNA from 1 species
UGGCUGCCUAAGUAAAACUCUUUCUUUUCUCUAGAAAUCAUAUGUCUGCAGUGGAAAACAGCACUUGACCCCACAACACUGAGGCUGACCAUCAGGGCCAGAACAAGAAAUUACUUGGAGAAGAACUGUACAUCAAAUCUUUGUGCUAAAUGGGUUGAAGUAGAUUUGGUUUGUACUUCUCAGAGAGGAUUCAAUGUGACAUGUUAUGGGAAGCUCUGGCAGAAAUAUGUGGUAAAAUCAGAAAUCACUUCCAAUCAGAUCUUCACAGAUGAAUAACAUGCUGGUCUGCUGAGAAAUAAAAACAUUGACAUUAAUUAGAACUGGCUUUUG